rnacentral:tRNA from 1 species
GCCUUCGUGGCGUAACGGUAACACACUCGGCACAUAUUCGAGAGGCCUAAGGUUCGAGUCCUCAAGAGGGCA